UACAGAGGUCUCAACCGUUGUUCGGAUUCAUUGGGCGUAAAGGGUGCGUAGGCGGUCGCGCAAGUCGGAUGUGAAAUCUCAGGGCUCAACCCUGAAACUGCAUUCGAUACUGCGUGGCUAGAGUGCUGGAGAGGAGACUGGAAUUUACGGUGUAGCAGUGAAAUGCGUAGAUAUCGAGAGGAACACCUGCGGCGAAGGCGGGUUGCUGGGCUGACACUGACGCUGAAGCGCGAAAGCUAGGGGAGCGAACGGG
rnacentral:rRNA from 1 species